UAUAUCUAUGGUCGGCACGUCUGGUAGCAUCUCUGGCUGCUGUUGACCUUGUUUUUGGAGUAAAACACGGUGGAAGCUGAAUUAGUGAGGAUGACUCCUGCUCCUGUCAUCUCUAAGCUCUUCACACAUCUUUACCUGCACAUGAGGAAAAUCACUCCUGUAGAAUGCAGAUGUUCAGAGGGAGAUGAUGCCACAUCUGGUCCAGCUGAUGGAAGGUCUUGAAGUUCUCUGACUGGCCUCGACUGAAGAUGGUCGUCUCACUGGAUUUAAGGUUCAGAUGCUCAGUAACAAACUCCACCAAUGUGCCAACAGGGAAGCUUUAGGUUUAUUAAAUGUUGCUAUGAAGGUUUCGCUGUUUUUCUUUGUGAAUGCAAUGUGCUCCAACUGAAACUUGAAUUAGAACUUAGAAGUAAAUCCUUCCAUCUGAAAGGAUUUAUUUGCAUUAAUAACCUCAUAACAUUCUAAUUUUUAUUCCAGUCUUGGUUGGAAAUAGAAUCUCUGUAUUGAUUCAGGUAAAAACUGAACUUCACAGCAUGUUGGAGCAAAACAACCAGAUGAAAACUGUGAUGGUGUUGGAUUGUCAGACCGUAAUGUUGCAGCUCAAAGCAGCUUUUCUAUCUCAGUUCAUUCUGACAUUCAGCUAUGAAUCAACACAGCAGAUGGUGAUCCAUGCUGUGGAAGUCUCACAUCUCCUCAUUUAAUGGAGCUGCUUUGCACUUUUUACACUGUUUAUUCACCAACACUUUAUUUAAUAAAAGUCCCAUCUAGUUUUCAUGAGGAAUGUGAUGUUUUAAUUUCUCUGUGAAUAACUGCAGUCUAAUGGAACAGCUGGAGUUGUAACAUCUGUCCUGAUAUUGAUCAUGAAGUAUUGAUCAGAAUACUUAUGGUUAGCAGUCAUCCCUGAAGUUUUACAUUAAAAUCUUUACUUGUGUUGUGAACUUUGGUAAGAAGCAGAAACUUUAGCGUUGCCAUGGAUACAUGAGUGUUAAAGUCUGUCCAUGUUUCCAUUUUGGGAAAUGAAGUCCAGCAGAUGAGUUUGUUUUUACUGGCAGCUACUAUUCAGUCUGAGAUAUUAAGAAUAAAUAAAUGUGCAUAAUGUGGAAAUGACCAGAUUUUAUUUUUAUUAAUUUCUACAGCUGCUACAUGGAAAGUUCCCGAAUGUGGAGGAAUUUAGGAUCACAAUCACAGACAAUAAAUAUUAUCUGAAAGUCGGGUUUUUAUUGUUUAUCAGCACAAUACAAAAAGAUUAAUGUUAGACAUAUUCCAGUUAAGACUCUAGAAUAUCAUGAUUUAUGUAAAUUUACCUCAAUAAUAUGAAUGUUCAGGUUAAGAUUGUGCAGUGAUAUUUAUUAUGUAAGUUUAGCUGAUUAAAGUUUAUGACUCUGCACUACAAUAUUAUUUAAAUUUACAUCAUUAUUAUAAUAUUUAGGGCCAGACCCCUGACAUGAGGAAAAAGACUUUAUUGAAGACUACAAUGAGAAAAACUAGCAGACGGCUGCAUUCAAGUCUGUAGCUGCUGAAUUCAUGGAUGAAUCAUCUGGCACUAGAGAGGAAGACCAUCAAACAUCCACGUCAGCUGAUGGAGGUCCAAGAGUCUCACCCAACAAACAACCUACAGAGUGAAGACCUCUAACCUGAUUGGACGGCCUCCUAUUCAGCC
ensembl:lncRNA